rnacentral:rRNA from 1 species
UACGUAGGGUGCAAGCGUUGUCCGGAAUUAUUGGGCGUAAAGAGCGUGUAGGCGGCCCGGUAAGUCCGCUGUGAAAGUCGGGGGCUCAACCCUCGAAUGCCGGUGGAUACUGUCGGGCUAGAGUGCGGAAGAGGCGAGUGGAAUUCCUGGUGUAGCGGUGAAAUGCGCAGAUAUCAGGAGGAACACCGAUUGCGAAGGCAGCUCGCUGGGACGUAACUGACGCUGAGACGCGAAAGCGUGGGGAGCAAACAGG